CGGCUACAUUACGUUGAAAUACCGAUUCCCGUACAACCACCGAAGUUAAGCAACUGUGAGUGUGGUCAGUACUUAGAUGGGUGACCGCUUGGGGAUAUCAGAUGCUGUUA